AGGGCACCACCAGGAGUGGAGCCUGCGGCUUAAUUUGACUCAACACGGGAAAACUCACCCGGCCCGGACACUGGAAGGAUUGACAGAUUGAGAGCUCUUUCUUGAUUCAGUGGGUGGUGGUGCAUGGCCGCUCUUAGUUGGUGGAGUGAUUUGUCUGGUUAAUUCCGAUAACGAACGAGACUCUAGCCUAUUAAAUAGAUCGUUGGCUUACAAACGCCGGCGAGACUUCUUAGAGGGACAGGCGGCGAUUCAGCCGCACGAAACAGAGCAAUAACAGGUCUGUGAUGCCCUUAGAUGUCCGGGGCCGCACGCGCGCUACACUGAAGUGAUCAGCGUGCAUUUUGAAACCUACUCUGUCAAGAGUGGGGAACCCAAUGAACCUUCUUCGUGAUUGGGAUAGGGGAUUGUAAUUAUUCCCCUUGAGCGAGGAAUUCCCAGUAAGCGCGAAUCAUAAGUUUGCGCUGAUUACGUCCCUGCCCUUUGUACACACCGCCCGUCGCUACUACCGAUUGAAUGUUU
rnacentral:rRNA from 1 species